GGGGGCGAUCUGGCUUCGACGGGGGUGUUGAAUCGUGGGACGCGUGCCGAGGGCCAUCUCCUCGCAAAUCCGGUGGAAAAAACCAUAACUGCGGAACCGCAGCUCGCUCUCGCUGCUUAGGCAGUGAGCGGUCACCCUGAGAAUGCCUGCGUCAUGGGGCUGACCGUCAUUUAGCAGGCUGGUCCACACGUGCUGCUCCGACGCGUGACGACGAGACACAUCGGGGAUGGCGGCCGGGGCGCUUGGCUCCGUUCAGAACCGGCCGCGACAUCAGAAUGGAGACACGCACGUAGUGUCCUGCGGGAACGCAUUCUCGGACGCGGGUUCAACUCCCGCCGCCUCCACCA
rnacentral:tmRNA from 1 species